CCGCGGUGAAUACGUUCCCGGGCCUUGUACUCACCGCCCGUCACACCACGAAAGCUGAGUGUACCAGAAGCCCCCUCACGGGGCCCAAGGUAUAAUCGGUGAUUGGGGUG
rnacentral:rRNA from 1 species